rnacentral:sRNA from 1 species
UUAACAGGCCAGAGGCUUAAAUCCUCCAUUUCAUCUCAGGACAGUUGUAGUCGAGAGACACUGGCACUGCAAACUUCUCCACACUGCCCUGCCAACCUACUGGACUCUGAACUCUGACAUGUUGGGAUAGGUCUACUUUUCCACAUUUGUUUAACCCUUGGUCUCU